rnacentral:snRNA from 1 species
UAACUCUGGUGUCUCCUCAUUUGCGGAUAAAUAUUUCGCCUUUUACUAAAGAUUUCUGUGGUGAGGCACAAUACAAUGAGUUUUUUCUAUCUCCGUCUUUGCACGGAGU